UCAGUCCACAUGUGGUUAAAAAACUGAUCAUGACAACUAAGUACAAUGUCCGUGUAUCACGACGAAAUCGAAAUUGAAGACUUUGAAUACGACGAAGAAACUGAAACAUACCACUAUCCGUGCCCAUGUGGUGAUAGGUUUGAGAUAACCAAGGAGGAGUUAGAAAGUGGUGAAGAUGUAGCAAAGUGCCCGAGCUGCUCCCUUCUCAUCAAGGUUAUUUAUGAUCCGGAAGACUUCAUGGUUGGAGAAGAGGUAGCAGACACCUGUAAAACAGAAUUACAACUCGCUUAAGUGAUCCCGCAGGUCACAGAGUUUUGUCUCUGUUUUGGUCCUCUUGCAGCACCUUCAUGUAACCAAGGCAACAAUUUUUCAGUUUUGUUUAUUGUGCUUUGCUAAGCCAGGAGAUUAGUUGAUUCAUAUAUACUGACCAGAAGUGAUGUCCAGUUGGUAAACAUGCAAUAGGCUGAAGCAGUGUACAGAUUCUGUUGUGAGUUGUGACGGUGAAAUGGAGUCUGCAGGUACAAGAGGAUUAGAAAACAGGGAGAGUGAGCAGAGACCUGAACAAUCUCAGCCAUUUUCCUCAGCCCCUGAUUUGUAUCAUUUAAAUCUUCAUCAGGAUAUGGUAGAGAAACCCGGGGAGCAAAUCUCCAUAUUCAUGGAGACUGCACAGUCACAACCAUGUAGUGGAGAGCGAGAUUUUCACCACCAUGGCAUGAAAAGUAAAAAGUCUGACAAUACAGAGUCUCCCAGGAAACGCCAGAGAUCUAAACCUUCUCAAGAUGGAUGUCAAACAGACAGCUACCGAGUCAAAUCAGACAGUUCUAGUCCGGGAAGAUCUGGAAAACAAGCCUCAAAGAAAAGUUAUCAGGAAGGAAAAUCAGGAUCUGGUCGUUUAGGGGAGGGUUCUAGGUCAGACAGUGCAGCAAUGGGCCUCUUGUCAUCCCCCACCCCCUCCCAUGGGUCACACGAAGGCAGCGACAUUAGCUUCAAGUCCAGCCUUCUGGACGAGGUACUAACAGAGAAGAAACUGGCCCUGUUGAAAUCUCCGGGCGUGAAAGCAUUUUUACAACAGCAGCAAGCUCAAGCCUCAGCCAACAAGAUGUCCAGUUCCAAGAUGUGUUAGACGGAACGAGUGUUAACCUUCAGCAUCUGUGAUAUUCUCAUGCACUGAACAUACAAUAUAUAUGUGCUUUCAUAACCAAAUGCUACAUCCUAUUUUUGUUGACUACUGUUGUGACUAGCCGGUACGUAAUCCACAGAUUUUGAGAAAGGACCUGUAGCCUUACAAUUGGGAACAUGUUUAAAUGCAUAACCACAUUGUUGGGAAAAAGGCUUUCAUAACCUUUCACAUACUGUAACUUACCGUUACUCACCUUUUCACAUGUUUGCAUGGUGUUUAUUCAAGCAUAUUCUGACGGAAUUAUUCUGUGUUUACAUAAAAUUAUUAACUUUUUGUGAAGCCCUGAAACUGAGCAAUUCAACCAAUGUAGUUUUUGUCUCCAAAAUCGAAUAAAAAAAUGUGCAUAAAUUGCACUGAAAGGGGCUCUUCUGUGUGUGGGAAAACCUUGAGGAAUUAGGGUAUACACAUUAUACCUUACCCCCAGUGCUGGAACAAUAAAAGAGAGGUGUGCAGAUCUGAAAAGUAUAUAUUUAUCCCCACUUGGAACAUUUGUGGCUGCAAUUUGGGAAACAAACCAUUGGGAACGGGUCUAAAUAUCAACCCCAGCAGUGUAGGUAAAUUGUACCACCCUUGCUAAAUGUGAAGCCUAUAAUGUGCAUAUUUUCUCACUCUGAUUGGUCCGGCUGAGAGCAAGAUGAUACUUUAUAACCACAGCAAGCAGUUUUAUACAUGGCAUUGUCUGUCAGUCUUCAAAAUUCUUAUUAUCCUAUCUUCUGUCAUUGCCAGUAGGUUAAUUUUUUUUAACAUCUUUUAACACAGGCCUGAAUGCAAAGUGACAUUAAGUUGUUGUGGAAUUACUGAACUAUUGUGAACAUUUGCAGGUUCAUUUGAACACUUGCACCACCAUGUACUUGGACAGACAAACAAGCCAUGUGACGGAGUUUGUUAUUACACAGACUUUUCUCAGCUAUAGUGUAAUAAUGUCUCAAUACAGGUUACCUUUGUAUUGAAAUUGAAUAUCGUAAGUAAAUAGGCUACUUGACUACCUUUUUGUUUAAUAGGGUUACAUGCCAACCUGACCAUGGGACACAUAUUGAAAUUUUUAGGAUUAUAAGGGAUUAACUCAGUUUUCCUGUGGGACACCUAUUUAGAUGGUUCAGAUUAUUAUUUUAAUCUUUUAUGUAGUUUUGUGGGAAAGACGAAGCCUAGACCAUUCAGCUGAUUAAUUUAAAUUUGGCAGAUGUGGACAUUGAGUUCAUAGAUCUCCUUUUUUUUUUUCAUUCUUACAGUAUGUUCUUCUGUCAGGCUAACAGCUUUAGUUGUUUUUGUAUGCAUUUACUAUGGCUUUCUCUUUAAUUCUAAAACACAAGAGGUUCAUUUAUCAAUGUAUUCACAAGAUUGUUAAAAAAAACAGCCUGUCCAUUUGAAAAAUAUCUUCUUACUGUAAAUCUGGAAGCACCAAAGGAUAUUGUAUUAUUGUGUAAUUUACAGCAUUUUAUUUUGAAAGCAUUCCACUUUCACCUCAUAAAUUACAGUACAUAAAUCUAUUAGUGCUCUGGGAUUACUUAAAAGAGAAGAAAACUAUAGGCUGAAAAGACCAGCUUUUUUUCUAUCUGGCGGUGCCUGCUGCAUAAUUUUGUGACUUUUCCUCGCGAUACACGUAAAACCAGAAAACGGCAAAGCUUGCACAAAUUGCUGAAUCCAUGGCAUCCUCAAUUUUUAACACCCUGUAAUUUAUGCUGGGGGUGUGUUGCCUCUCAGCCAAUGCGAGUCCUUAAUACUGCCGGCUUGUUCGUGUAAACUCGGAACCAAUGUCCAACAUUCCUGCUUCCCGAUCGUCAAGCGGAAAACGAACCGACUGUGCACAACCUUCUGGGAAGAAGAGUUCUACCGGAAAUGUAUGAACUGCACUUCGGCGAUUUCCGCUAGCAUUUCUCGUCCUAACAUAGAAGACUUCAGGACUAGUUCAUAGUCAAAAUGGAGUCGCCCACAGCGGAUUUUGGCGCUGACUUUUUUAAUUUGUCUCCUUGAGGCACAUAUUAGAAGUUUUUUAUGGCAUGCACCUGCAAGGAAAUACAUACUCUUUUUCAGUGGUAUUUGAUUGAUAUUUAAAUUUUCUUCUCCUUUAAGGCUCAUUCUCCUGUGGGGCCUAGGUUUAUAUCAUGUGACUGAGCACGUUGUGAUGUGCUCAAGUGUCGUGUAUUUCUCAGAGUAGUUCCCCUUUGCCUGAUGCAAGUGUUCCCCAAGUGAACCAUUUCAUGCAUACAGAUAUAUACAGAUAUUAUAACCGAUAUUGCAUACAAAUUUCUCUGAGAGUAGUUCCCCUUUGCCUUAUGGAACUCAUUCACAGGGGACACUGUUUCAUGCAUACACAUAUAAAACAUUGCCUUUUUCAUCACUACUAUUGGUACCGGGGUAUCUCACAUUUUUAACCUCUAGCAUUUAUUUCCCUUGUGAUCAUACAUUAAACAUGAAGAUAUGUAACAGAAUAGGCC